GAUUUUGGUACAGGUAAUAAAUACUGUAUGGGUGAUGAGUUAAUCUAUAUACAGACACUUGUGUACUCAUAUUGAGAGAUUAUGUACAGUAGACAGCUCAGUAUGACAAUGAGAUAACUGCUAUUGCACUGUACAGGUGUUCAUCGUGGAUGUAUAAACAGAAUGUCCUGUUAAUGCUACUGAAAGUUUCUCAGUGUGCAGAUAAAAGCAAGAGUGCACACUGUCACAAAGUUAGUAAAUAAUUACUGUCACACGCUUAAUCUAUUAUUACAUUUUUUGAUAUUCAAUUUACAAUGAUCACAAGAUCAUUGUAAGAUCAUCAAAAGAGGAAUGGAAUAAAAAAUUAAGUUACAUCCCUUGUGAGGUAUUCACUGGUUGUUUCAGUUGGAAACAGCCAAUGAGAACCACAGUCAGUCUUACGUCUCAAUUAUAUGAUCAUGUGACCUCAGGUUUCCUUUGUGCUGAACAGAGUGAUGAGUGAGUGCACGUCAUUCAGCAGCAGGAAGGCUCAUCACCAACAUGCUCGUCUCCGUCCUUACUCUGUCCCUUCUUUUACACUCAGGUCUCACUGUUGUUGUUCUUCAGUCUGGAGAUCAAGUGUCUCACCCAGGAGUCAAAGUGAAGCUGGAGUGCAGCAUGGGUCCGGGGUUCAGCAUGGGCAGCUACACCAUGUACUGGUACCGACAAAACCACCACGGAGCUCCAAUGGAGUUUCUGAUCAAAGAGUACCAAGAAACUGUGGGGCACUUCCAGUCGUUUAUCGAUACGUCCAAAAACAACUUCUCUCUUCAAAUUACUGAGCUCUUUCUGAAUGACAGCAGCACCUACUACUGUGCUGCCAGUCACAGUGAUGCACAGAGAGCAGACAGUCAUACAAAUAACAAGUCUGUAACAGAUGAUAUGCAGGCAGGAAGGAGCUGUGGCUUGUUUGGUUUUUAUACAAUAGAGAAGUAUGAUAAGGUUUGUCCCUAAAGUAGGUUAAGAAAACACACUGGGUCAACAGUGGGCUAUUAGUUAAUAUUAAUUAAAUAUAGUAAACUUACUGUAUAAUUAAAUGAACAUCUCUAUGACAGCGACAAAAAAGAAUAUAAGUACAAUUACAGUAGCUUUUAUGGUACAACAAUUGUACUGGAUUUCAAUAGACUACACAGGUGUGCAUGACCCAAAUACACUACACUAUACUGUAGUAAAAUACACAAUACCAUAUUAUGCUAUACUAUACGACAAGUUGUUGUUUACUUGUUGCUCUGUUUACUUGUUUUCCAGAUUUCCCCUUCUGGGUAAAAAGCCACCAGUUUGUAUUCAGUGGUGGCAGAGAGAUAGCUGUUACUUUGCAGUGUGAACAAAACGACUAUAUUCCUACAUACAGUAACAUACUCUACUGUGUCACUCUGUCCUCAACCCUGCACUUUUUCAUAUAAUUUAAUUUUGUGUGUGCACCCUGAUGAGAUGAAAGUAUAUCAACUUGAAGAGGAUGGCGUACACUGACCUCUACAGGGUUC